AUUGAACGCUGGCGGCAUGCCUUACACAUGCAAGUCGAACGGCAGCGGGGGAGAAGCUUGCUUUUCCUGCCGGCGAGUGGCGGGCGGGUGAGUAAUACAUCGGAACGUGCCCUGUAGUGGGGGAUAACUAGUCGAAAGAUUAGCUAAUACCGCAUACGACCUGAGGGUGAAAGUGGGGGACCGCAAGGCCUCAUGCUAUAGGAGCGGCCGAUGUCUGAUUAGCUAGUUGGUGGGGUAAAGGCCUACCAAGGCGACGAUCAGUAGCUGGUCUGAGAGGACGAUCAGCCACACUGGGACUGAGACACGGCCCAGACUCCUACGGGAGGCAGCAGUGGGGAAUUUUGGACAAUGGGCGAAAGCCUGAUUCAGCAAUGCCGCGUGUGUGAAGAAGGCCUUCGGGUUGUAAAGCACUUUUGUCCGGAAAGAAAUGGCUCUGGUUAAUACCUGGGGUCGAUGACGGUACCGGAAGAAUAAGGACCGGCUAACUACGUGCCAGCCGCCGCAGUAACAC
rnacentral:rRNA from 1 species